ACAUGCUGGCUAACACUUCGCUAGUACUGUACAAAAACUAGCUUGUUCCGCGAGGCCUCUAAGUUUUUAUUAUUUUCCAAACAGAGGCAACAGCUUUGUGACGUCUCAUAAUUAAGAACAACAUUUUAUAUAUGCACAAAUGCCUGAAGAUGAAAAAUAAACAAAUAAAUCACAAUUGGCAAUGUUGAGAAAUUCCAAACGAUUCCCCGUGUUCCUCACAUUGAAAAUGACCCAUGCAGUACGAUCGAAAAUGCCUUUGCACAAAAAAAAAUCAAAAAUGCAAUGGCCUUUCAAUGAAUGCCUUGAAGAUGAAUCACUAAGGAGCACCAUAUUUUGACCGAGCUAAAAUUGGCCU
rnacentral:lncRNA from 1 species